ensembl:rRNA 5S_rRNA 5S ribosomal RNA
AUUCUCGGCCAUAGCAUCCUGAAUGCACCCGAUCUCAUGUGAUCUCGGAAGCCAAGCAGGGUCGGGCCUGGUUAGUGCUUGAAUA